rnacentral:tRNA from 1 species
GCCCUCUUAGCUCAGUCCGGCCAGAGCAACCGCCUUGUAAGCGGUAGGUCGUCCGUUCGAAUCGGACAGGGGGCA